UUGUUAAUUAGGAAAAAACAAGAAUAUGAUCCCCUAAGGCCCUAAUGAGUAAUGACUAUUUUACACCUCGUGGGAUCUUAGGAGAAACAUGAUUAAAUAAACUAGACUACAUAUGAUCUCCAUCUCCUCUUCAUCCAACCUUCUCCCAAACUAGUCUAAAAUGGAAAAGAACCAAACCAUCAUCAAAGACACUCAAUCUCAAGGCCAAAGGGUAUGUGAAAAGAUUUUCAAAGCACUGAAUUUGAGUUCAUCUUUUCAAUAUUUUCCCAGAAAUCCCAAAUCAAAAAUAGCAACCAGAACUACAGCUAUUGCUUGUAGGGCUCAAGGCUAGCACCUUGAAGAAUCUUAGCAAACUUACAUUGUGUACUUGGCUUUCAAAGUAGAACAAAUUAUUUUCAUGACUUUCGAGAGAAAGGGCAGUUUCAGGAUGUCCGACUGGUUCUGCUCAUGAAAAGAAAAAGAAAUCUGAUUGGUUUCUACAUCAUCUUUAUGAGGAACUCAAACUUAUUGUAGAACUCCAAAAUUUAUAGCUAAGUUUGAACAAGCUAAGAGUCACGGGGAUAUAGCUAGGGAUCGAAUUGGCCAAAAUUUUAGGGUGUGCACUGAUUCAAGAUGAGCUCUUUCGGGCUACACAUAUAAAAAGAAGAAGAAUGUGGAUCAAUGGGUCGAGGCAAGGGCUCAAGAAGCUUAUGUUGUUUAUCUAAAAUGCUUGUCUGAGAACAAUGAGACUCGUUAAGUCCUGAGCGAGCCAACUCAGCCUUCAUCGAAUGUCGCUACUAAAAUAUGGACCGAGUAUGUAGCGGGAGGGAGAUAAAAAGGGAGUCUACGUCCUAUGCUCUAGGAACUAAGUGCAACGUAUUCAGUCAGGACUAGAUGGAGUUGGCACUUCACUUUAGAUCGAGGCAAUUGACGAUGUUUAGAUUGCUGCAAUAUCGCAACAGAUCAAACAACUCACACGUGCAUUGCUAGAAGUUGACGCCGAUGGAUUGCUCAGAAUAACACCAUGUGCAUAUCGUCGAGGUACUAAAUGCACAAGUGGAUCGCCUGAUUAGAAGUGCCCAGCAUGGUGUGCUCCGUUCUCCCACCUCAGUUAAUGAAGAUAUUUCGAAAAACAAUUCUAAUAGUGAGGGGGAUAUGUAGACCACACCCCUUAAGAUUCUAGUUAAAGUUGAACAUUAUUUUGAAACACUCUCUAUAUAUAUAUAUUUGGACUUUUUCAACUGAUGACUGUGAGUGCAUUGAUUUUCACCCGAGUUUGCUCAAAUAACCAACAAACAAUGUCAAUUUUAGCCCAUAAAUUUUAGGCAUUUUUUAGUAGUAGAUAUCUGCCUCUCAAUUCCUUUGUUCUCCUUGACGAAACAAACCUUUUGAUAAACAUCUGUGACAAGAUAUCUCAGGAUGAAUUAUCAUGGUACUUGUAACAAUGGGGUUGAAUUAUCAAAUCACACGCUAAAUUAUUUUCUUGAGUUAUUAGUUAC